CGCAAGCCUGAUGCAGCGAUGCCGCGUGUGGGAAGAAGGCUUUAGGGUUGUAAACCACUUUCAAUUGGGAAGAAGAGAUGAGUGUUAAUAACACUCUGAUUUGACGGUACCUUUAGAAGAAGCACCGGCUAAUUUCGUGCCAGCAGCCGCGGUAAUACGAAAGGUGCAAGCGUUGUUCGGAUUUACUGGGCGUAAAGAGAUCGUAGGUGGUUUGUUAAGUUGGAUGUGAAAUCCCGGGGCUCAACCUCGGAACUGCAUCCAAAACUGACGGACUUGAGUUUGGGAGGGGUAAGCGGAAUUCCGUGUGUAGCAGUGAAAUGCGUAGAUAUACGGAGGAACACCUGAGGCGAAGGCGGCUUACUGGACCAAUACUGACACUGAGGAUCGAAAGCGUGGGUAGCAAACAGGAUUAGAUACCCUGGUAGUCCACGCCCUAAACGAUGUCAACU
rnacentral:rRNA from 1 species